CACGUAGGGCGCAAGCGUUGUCCGGAAUUAUUGGGCGUAAAGAGCUCGUAGGCGGUCUGUUGCGUCCGCUGUGAAAACUCGGGGCUUAACCCCGAGCCUGCAGUGGAUACGGGCAGACUAGAGGUAGGUAGGGGAGAAUGGAAUUCCUGGUGUAGCGGUGAAAUGCGUAGAUAUCUGGAGGAACACCGGUGGCGAAGGCGGCAUCCUGGACCAAUUCUGACGCUGAGGAGCGAAAGCCAGGGGAGCAAACGGG
rnacentral:rRNA from 1 species